rnacentral:lncRNA from 1 species
GUGAGAGAGAGAAGAAAUAAUCUGCAGAGUUCUAGAUUUCUGUUUCAACUAAUUGAAUAGUUAUUCACAAGACUUAGGAAUACAGCUAAAAAUAGACUUGAAUAAAAAAUAAUAAAAAUGCAUACAGAACUCAAAAAAGAGCCUGACUAGCCAAGGCAAUCCUAAGCAAAAAGAACAAAGAUAGCACCAAAUACUGACCAGAUAUUUUGUUGACACUCAGUAAAUCAUUUAGGGUUGAUUGAGAGACAGUGGUCUCUGUGUUUUGUCCAACAUUUAUGUCACUUUUCCAAAUACAUAAUUUAUUUAUCAAAUUACUCAAACAAUAAUCAUGCUGUAUUUUGCUUUUGCCUUUUCUUUCUUUCUUUUUUUUCAUGUAGUCCACCCAUUUAAUUGUUUUGGAGUUAUAGGCCAAUGGAAAAAAAAACAAUUCUCCAUCUUAUUAAAAUUAAGAACUCUUUGGGCAGUAAGUUAAAAACAGCUGAACAAAAACCCUUCGAACUUGGCAGGUGGCUAGGACUCCUGAGGAAUCAUGUCACAGCUAUGUCUCCAAAAAAUAUUUGAAAUUAAGGUUUAGAGAUUUCAAAGGUCUCUUCUGAGUCCAAACUUUUGGCAGAUGUCAAAAUUUUAGGAAAUCAUUUUGGAAGAGAGGAAACUAGCCCAAACUUUUUUUUGUCCCCCCUUCCACAGACAGAUUGAAGCAAGGACUAAAUCAUCAAUGGAGUUUGAAAGAGAGGAAUCCUACCAUAAUAACAUAGAAAGAUCUUCAUUUCUGUGGCCUGAUAAUUGAGGUGUAAGAGGUGACCUGGUGCAAUUGGAAUCAUGUUGGCAAGAAUUCUAGUCUUAACUAUUUGAAUCACUAUUUGUAUACCUUUAGCAAACUCCCUUAUCUUCUUUGGGCUUCAGUUUCUCCAUGUGUCUGAUAUAGAUCACAGCAAUAAAAAUUGGGUUUUACCUGGAAUAUUUUUGACGAUACUUACAAAAGAUAAAGGAAGUUAAAAUUAUUUUGCGUAUCCCCCAUCACCCCCAGGCUACCAUACAUAAUUAAAGGAUUGUUUCAAAUUGCUUACUUGGUUUUGUUUGUAGAGACAUGUCUUAAGUGAGAAAAGAGGCUGAGCUCACAUCAGUUCCCAAAUCCAGCAGUUGUGAUUAUGUUUAUUUAGUGCUGUGAAAGUCAGCACUGCAGUUCGAAGACUGAUGUUAUCAAGAUGGUGAAAUUAGCCAUGUAGUGAAUCUGAUUUGGGUAAUCAAAUGACCAAAAUAUCUGACCCAAACUAGAUUCUAAUCAUUUCCAUUCUCAACUUUGUUAGUAAUUUGGGUUUUCAUUAAAAUUAUUCAGUCCGGGCUGGGUGUGGAGGCUCAUGCCUGUAAUCUCAGCACUUUGGGAGGCCGAGGCUGGCAGAUCACAAGGUCAAGAGAUUGAGACCAUCCUGGCCAAUAUGGUGAAACCCUGUCUCUACUAAAAAUACAAAAAUUAGCUGGGCGUGGUGGCGUGUGCCUGUAGUCCCAGCUACUCAGGAGGCUGAGGCAGGAGAAUUGCUUGAACCCAGGAGUCGGAGGUUGCAGUGAGCUGAGAUUGCACCACUGCACUCCAGCCUGGGUGACAGAGCAAGAAUCUGUCUCAAAAAAAAAAAAAAAAAAAAAAGAAAGAAAGAAAAAGAUUAUUCAAUCCAAACCACGUUGGUUUGAAGGGAAGAAUGGAAAAGAAAUGAAGCAACAGACAAGAAAUAUAACAACUACGAUAAAACAUUUAAAAGGAGAGGCAGAAUUAAGUUCUUAAGAGAAAAAUACAAUGUUCAACAUCAACAUAUUUGCUACACAUAAAUUGAGCAAGGUAUUGCAGAGCAUAAUGUGGUACAGAAAGAAUUAUGAAGUAUAGUACUUGCACUUUAGAAGCCUAUAACACCGAGGUCAUGGACUUCUGCAAGCACUUAAUAAUCACAAAUGGAAUAUUUGUUAUGUCUCAAGUGAAUGGUAUAGAUGGAUGGUAAAGGAGUUCAGAGAAGGGAAAUAAUCAUUAAGAGCCGGGAAGUCAGAGAAGGUCUCAGAGCAGAGCCUGGCUGUGAGCAAACAAGUAUAAAAUCACCCAGCAAAGAUAAUGAAGUUUACAUUAUUUCCUAUGUAUACUUCAUACCGAAAGAUACUGGCACCAAAAGAGGGAGUUGUCUGGGAAGUGGGGGUA